AUUUAUUUGCUGUCUAGUCUAUUUAUAUAAAGUAGAGUUCCCUUUCUCCAGGGCCCUCCACCUAGGAUGACACGUCAUUAAUUCGAAGUCUCUGGUGUCGACACGUAUGAAAUGCUAUGUUUCAUUAAAGUGCUCAUUUCAUAGCUGCAGGCUUGACGUUGGGCUUCAACUCACGCUUCGUUUGCGGCCCACCUUCGUGUUCUCUGUUUCUCUUCGAUCGGCGGAGGGACGAUCCAGUCUCUUCCCUCUUCGUGCGACGGCGACUCAAUCGUUUGCGCUUCUUCACACCAUCCGAAACGGUCCGAUUAAAAGCUUUGUGAUUGAUCAGAUUGAUUGACUCCUUCCACGAUGUUGUCUUCAAUACUUUGUUUGUUCCGAAAGGCGGUGAUUUUUGGUAUAAAUAUGUGUUUAUUUCCUUCGUUCUUAAGUCUGGCAAGGGCUCUUCCGUUGCCGAGGCUUCUGUCAUUUUGUGAGGAGGUGGUGGUGAACUCAUGUGCAUCGACAUGCUAAUGGUGGACGUUAACGUAAGUUCAUUUUACUGAUUUUGAUGGUUUUAUAUUCAAAUGAUUACGGGGAACCUCCUACUGUUUGUCAUCUAUAUUUAUAAUUUUUUUGGAACUUCUUCCUGUUUGUUGAUUAUGCGAUGUAUGAGAUUAAUUUUUAAGUGAUAAUCAAUGCAAGCCAUCCCGUGAAAUGCAUCAGUUCUGUCUUCUCCUUCUGGACGCAAAAGGUUUCCAGCUUCACUAUGUAGUUUUAAUUUUUUUUCCUGUCUUGCAUUGAUCAUCUUUUGAUUAUCAAACUUUCAACCCUAAUAGUUCGUUCAACAGAGAUCAGUUUGAUCAUGUCUUCAUUAUCAAAAUUAUUCCCAAUUUUUUUUUGUUAUUUUAAAUCAUGCCAGCUUGCAGGGAGAAGCAAGUUUUGAAGUUCCUUACUUUGUCUAUGGCUGUGGAGGUUCCACUUGCUAUCCUACGCCACAAGGACCGGCAUAUCUAAGCAAAAGUUUGUAAUAAAGAAGCAUUUGAACAGGCUAAACAAACCCGAUGUCAAGAGCAUUCAGUUUACUUGCAGUUCCUUUUUUAGAUGAAGCACAAUUACCUUCCUCAGGGACUCUUUGAGGAGGACAAAAGAAGAUGAUAUCUUGAGAGAAAGUUCAUUCAAAAGAUAUGGCAAGACGAAGCAUAGAACUUUCCCGUUUCCUAAAUCUGAGGAACCUGGCUUCAUGAACCAAAGUAGUCAUCAGAUGAGUCAAAGCUUUUCUUUUUCUUUGUUGGUUUCUUGGAAGUCUUAUUUCUCUACUCAAACACAAUUUAUUAUCGGAUAUUGUUUGCGCUCCGUUUCUCACAGGUGCAACUACAAAGUGCUUCUUAACCUUCACAUUGAAGUGACUUUACAUGUUAUAAACGGGCUCAUUGAUCUCUUAUAAUUUGCUUGGAUCCUCACAAACAGAGGUUCGAGUCUUUAUGUCUAUUCCUAGAAUUGUUAAGUCUCAACGGCAUUAUCAGCUGCGAGAGAAUGGCAAAACAGUCAAAUAACACUACCACAAAAACAGAGGACUGUAGCUAUACCACCGGUAAGUUUAGAUAACGUUACCGUGAUGAGAUCUGAUGCCUCUUGGAAGGAGAACCGCAAUAUUGCAGGUUUGGGAUGGGUCAUCUACGGAGAGGAUGGACCAAUGAAGUUCUCAGCAGUGGAAGAGCAUGUCUCCACGCCUUUGUUGGCAGAGAGUAUAGCAAUGAAAGAAUCACUCGCCAAAUGCAAGGAGUACACGUGUCAGAUGUGAAGCAGAUUCUAAACAGCUUAUUGCCUGCAUCAGGAAGGAAUUGUAUCGGAUAUUGUAGUUUUAGCUUCAGACUUUGAGGCCAUCUCUUUUGGAUGGAUCUCCCGUAUGGAAAAUGUUGUUGCA